AGGAUGAACGCUGGCGGUGUGCCUAAUACAUGCAAGUCGAACGAGACCUUCGGGUCGAGUGGCGGACGGGUGAGUAACACGUUGGUACCUACCCCGAAGUGGGAAUAACUGCCCGAAAGGGUGGCUAAUACCGCAUAAUACCGCAAGGUUAAAGCGAGUAAUCGCGCUUCGGGAGGGGCCUGCGUCCCAUUAGCUAGUUGGUAGGGUAAUGGCCUACCAAGGCGACGAUGGGUAGCUGGAUCGAGAGGUUGACCAGCCACACUGGGACUGAGAUACGGCCCAGACUCCUACGGGAGGCAGCAGUAAGGAAUCUUCCACAAUGGACGAAAGUCUGAUGGAGCAACACCGCGUGCAGGAUGACGGUCUUCGGAUUGUAAACUGCUUUUAUAUGGAAGAUUAUGACGGUACCAUAUGAAUAAGGACCGGCUAACUACGCGCCAGCAGCCGC
rnacentral:rRNA from 1 species